CUUAUAAAUAGAGAAGCGUCUUAGAAGUCUUAAUAAUGUGUCCUGAGAAGAGCAUUGUUUUCAGUCUAGAUAACAACAAAAAAGUUAAAACAAAAAUAAAAGGUUUACUUUGCUAAAUACAUAUAAUCAGCACUUAGAGUUAUUGAAAAUCUUACACAUGGGUGCUAACUUCCAAAUUUAUUUUUCACCCAUACUGUCUUCACCAUACUGGAAUUACCAGAGGAAAGAUCUGCAGCUACCUCAAUUCCUGCCUCUUCAGAAGAAAGAAUUCGACUGAGGAGUAUAAGGCAGAAGAAGAGACCCAGGGAAGGAGUCCUUGGGAAACAUUUUUCCCAACAUAAAGAAGGU
rnacentral:lncRNA from 10 species